CUCGGACGCCCACUUUAUUACCAAUCUUUUUAAGAUUGUGUGCCACACUAUGGAUAUAGGGGACAACAGCCGUUUUAUGCUGCUGCAGGAUCUACUUUUAGGCUGCAACACCGCAAUGCUUUGGAGAAGCCUGGCGUAUCCUUACGUACAACAGGUCCUGCUUAUGACUGUUUAUUGCGGCAGUUCAGUUCCCGAAAGUUAUGGGACUAAAUUACUUCAUUAAACGAGGCUGCUUCGGAGGUGUCCAGUGCAAUAAAGUAGGACAAAAA